ACAACAGUUGGAAACGACUGCUAAUACCGCAUACGAUCUAAUCUCGGCAUCGAGGAUAGAUGAAAAGGUGGCCUCUACAUGUAAGCUAUCACUGAAGGAGGGGAUUGCGUCUGAUUAGCUAGUUGGAGGGGUAACGGCCCACCAAGGCGAUGAUCAGUAGCCGGUCUGAGAGGAUGAACGGCCACAUUGGGACUGAGACACGGCCCAG
rnacentral:rRNA from 1 species